GAUGAACGCUGGCGGCGUGCCUAAUACAUGCAAGUCGAGCGAACGGACGAGAAGCUUGCUUCUCUGAUGUUAGCGGCGGACGGGUGAGUAACACGUGGAUAACCUACCUAUAAGACUGGGAUAACUUCGGGAAACCGGAGCUAAUACCGGAUGAUAUUUUGAACCGCAUGGUUCAAAAGUGAAAGACGGUCUUGCUGUCACUUAUAGAUGGAUCCGCGCUGCAUUAGCUAGUUGGUAAGGUAACGGCUUACCAAGGCAACGAUGCAUAGCCGACCUGAGAGGGUGGUCGGCCACACUGGAACUGGAACACGGUCCAGACUCCUACGGGAGGCAGCAGUAGGGAAUCUUCCGCAAUGGGCGAAAGCCUGACGGAGCAACGCCGCGUGAGUGAUGAAGGUCUUCGGAUCGUAAAACUCUGUUAUUAGGGAAGAACAGAUGUGUAAGUAACUGUGCACAUCUUGACGGUACCUAAUCAGAAAGCCACGGCUAACUACGUG
rnacentral:rRNA from 1 species